rnacentral:rRNA from 1 species
GAUGAACGCUGGCGGCGUGCUUAACACAUGCAAGUCGAACGAUGAAGCCCAGCUUGCUGGGUGGUUUAGUGGCGAACUGGUGAGUAACACGUGAGUAACCUGCCCUUUACUCUUGGAUAAGCCUGGGCAACUGGGUCUAAUACUUGAUAUCACUUCUCAUCUCAUGGUGGGGGGUGGAAAUCUUUAUUGGUCUUGGAUGGGCUCGCGGCCUAUCCGCUUGUUGGGGAGGUAAUGGCUCACCAAGGCGACGACGGGUAGCCGUCACUGGAGUGUGACCGGCCACAAUGGGACUGAGAGACGGACCAGACUCCUACGGGAGACAGCAGGGGGGAAUAUGGUACAAUGGGCGCAAGUCUGAUGCAGAGACGCCGGGGGAGGGAUGACGGCCUUUGGGGUGUAAACCGCAGUCAGUAGGGAAGAAGCGAGAGUGACGGUACCUGCAGAAGAAGCGCCGGCUAACUACGUG